GCAUGAAUUUAUAGAUCCUCCUAAUCCCACAGGGUUUCCUGACUGGAAUUACGAGUGUCUUGGGGCCUGGGAUGCCAUUGGUCAAAAGCAGAAAGAUGGCGUCUGUCUACAACAGUGCUCACCAGGGAAUAAACUCUGCUGGACAGCUGUGGCUCAGGAGGUUGAGCGGGUUGUCCACUAACCAGAAAGUCAGGGUUUGAUCCCUGGCUCCUCCUGUCUGCAUGUCGAAGAGUCCUUGGGCAAGAUACUGAACCCCAAAUUCCCCCCGAUGUAUCAUAGGUUGAAAGUGGAACUGCAGGGGAAGACAGCAAAGGAGCUACUGCAAUGCCACCUGCUGGCCAUAGACCUCCAUCAUAUACUGGAUUGUUGGACCAAGCCUUAAAGAUAUUUACGCAAAUAACUCAAGAGAUGCCAUGGAGCCCAAAAACUAUGCAGAAAGGAUUGCAAUUUAACUCAACUGCCCUACUAUGCUCCACCUGCCAGAGCCAGAGGCAGACACAGAUGCAGAGGUAGAGGCCGUUGACGAGGGACAGAUAGGAGCUUCCCCUACAACAACAGAGAGGAAGCUGAUGUUUGCUGGAGAUGCAAUCCAGUAGGCCACAGUGCUAGAAACUGCACAUAUACGAUACCAGAGUUGUCAGAUGGUGAACGAGGAAUGUUGCGCCCACCAUCUGGCAAUGUGUCCGUGAAUAGACCAUUUGGAGACAUGACAUUUGUGAUGGUCGAUUCCUGACUAUCUACAAAGGUCUCAACUCCUGAUAACACUUGUCAGGAGGAGAGUGAAAAACCUCAAACAAAUCUCUUAAGUGGAUGGAUCAGCUUGAAGGCUAUGCUAUUGUCACUGAUAUUGACGUGGUAGAAUCUGGAAGACUCCCAACUCAUCUUUCUGCUCAGGCGGCUGAACUAUUUG